AUGUCUUACCAUGUCAGUGAGACGAAGAUUGGCCCCUUGUCGCCUGAUUCUCAUCUUUUUGGUCGAUCCUCUGGUCAGUGCCUCUUCGGUCUAUGCCUGCUCGUCAUCUACAAGCAGCCUCGUUCAGCUGCCUUCGUCUGUGCAUAUCCUUUUCAUAUAACUGUUCAUCGGGGAAUGAGCUGGAAAUUAAUUGAAAUCUUCAGAGUUCACAAUUUGCCUUUUCAAUGCCCCGAAAUACUUCCAUCGUGGGCACAAGAAUGUCAGGAAGGGGUGGGGCUAACCCCUAUUUUGGUGACCAUCUCUUCAUGCCCUGUUGAAUAUAACUUCUCCACCUAA
rnacentral:rRNA from 1 species